rnacentral:misc_RNA from 1 species
UCCGGUUUGGCACCGGCAGUCUCACUAGAGUCCCCGACAUAACUCGCUGGCAACUAGUGACAGGGGUUGCGCUCGUUGCGGGACUUAACCCAACAUCUCACGACACGAGCUGUCGACAGCCAUGCAGCACCUGUGCAUGGACUCCGAAGAGGGCCUCCCGUUUCUGAGAGGUUUCCCAUGCAUGUCAAGCCUAGGUAAGGUUCUUCGCGUUGCGUCGAAUUAAACCACAUGCUCCACCGCUUGUGCGGGCCCCCGUCAAUUCCUUUGAGUUUCAACCUUGCGGUCGUACUCCCCAGGCGGGGCACUUAAUGCGUUAGCGCCGGCCCUCGAGGGGUCGCUCCCCCAAGCGCCUAGUGCCCAUCGUUUACGGCGUGGACUAC